UAGCUAGUUGCAUCAUAGUAGAUAUGAUGCAAGAUCGACUAUGUUGAAUAAAAUUCUAGGUAGAAUUAUGAUAAUGACAUUGUCUGCCUAUGUGUCUUGACCAAAUUACGUGCCAGCAGUCGCGGUAAUACGUAGAAGACUAGUGUUAUUCAUGUUUAAUCGGUUUAAAGGGUACCUAGACGGUAGAUCAAGCUUUCUAAUAAAGGAAAAGGACUAGUUUACUAGAGUUACUUAUGAGGGGGUAUUAAAGUACUGCUGGUGUAGAGAUGAAAUUCUGUCAUACCUCUUUUCAAAAGAAAAACCAUGGCACAGGUAUAGGCGAAGGCAUCCCCUUAUGUGAUAACUGACGUUGAGGGACGAAGGCUUUGUGUAGCGAACAGGAUUAGAUACCCCAGUAGUCGAAGCAGAAAAUGAUGAAUGUCAUAGAUUAGAUAUAUAAGUUUAUUCUAUAAAUGAAAGUGUAAGCAUUCCACCUCAUGAGUAAUUUGGCAACAUUGGAACUGAAAUCAUUAGACCGUUUCUGAAACCAGUAGUGAAGUAUGUUGUUUAAUUUGAUGUCCCGCAAAAAACCUUACCACAAUUUGAAUAUUUAUAUUGUUUAUUGUUUUAUUAUUAAUUUUCUUGAACGGAAAGAUCACGUAAAAAAAAAAAC
rnacentral:rRNA from 1 species